UAUGCUGCCGAGAAAAGCCUCUAGCGAGCUGGUACAUGGCCCGUACCCCAAACCGACACAGGUGGUCAGGUAGAGAAUACUAAGGCGAUCGAGAGAACUGUGGUUAAGGAACUCGGCAAAAUGCCCCCGUAACUUCGGGAGAAGGGGGACCAGUCCUGGUGACGACAUUUACUGUCUGAGCUGGGGUUGGUCGCAGAGACCAGAGAGAAGCGACUGUUUACUAAAAACACAGGUCCGUGCGAAGUCGUAAGACGAUGUAUACGGACUGACGCCUCCCCGGUGCUGGAAGGUUAAGAGGACCGGUCAGCCACUUCGGUGGCGAAGCUGAGAAUUUAAGCCCCAGUAAACGGCGGUGGUAACUAUAACCAUCCUAAGGUAGCGAAAUUCCUUGUCGGGUAAGUUCCGACCUGCACGAAUGGCGUAACGACUUCUCUGCUGUCUCAACCACAGACUCGGCGAAAUUGCAGUACGAGUAAAGAUGCUCGUUACGCGCGGCAGGACGAAAAGACCCCGGGACCUUCACUAUAGCUUGGUAUUGGUGUUCGGUUCGGUUUGUGUAGGAUAGGUGGGAGACUGUGAAACUCGCACGCCAGUGUGGGUGGAGUCAUUGUUGAAAUACCACUCUGACCGUAUUGGACAUCUAACCUCGGACCAUGAUCUGGUUCAGGGACAGUGCCUGGUGGGUAGUUUAACUGGGGCGGUUGCCUCCUAAAAAGUAACGGAGGCGCCCAAAGGUUCCCUCAGCCUGGUUGGCAAUCAGGUGUUGAGUGUAAGUGCACAAGGGAGCUUGACUGUGAGACGUACAUGUCGAGCAGGGACGAAAGUCGGGACUAGUGAUCCGGCACCGGCAAGUGGAAGCGGUGUCGCUCAACGGAUAAAAGGUACCCCGGGGAUAACAGGCUGAUCUUCCCCAAGAGUCCAUAUCGACGGGAUGGUUUGGCACCUCGAUGUCGGCUCGUCGCAUCCUGGGGCUGGAGUAGGUCCCAAGGGUUGGGCUGUUCGCCCAUUAAAGCGGCACGCGAGCUGGGUUUAGAACGUCGUGAGACAGUUCGGUCACUAUCCGCCGCGCGCGUAAGAAACUUGAGGAAACCUGUCCCUAGUACGAGAGGACCGGGACGGACGAGCCUCUGGUGUGCCAGUUGUUCCACCAGGAGCACCGCUGGUUAGCUACGUUCGGAAGGGAUAACCGCUGAAAGCAUCUAAGCGGGAAGCCUGUUCCAAGAUGAGGUUUCUCACCACCUAGCGUGGUUAAGGCCCCCCACAGACCAUGGGGUUGAUAGGCCAGAACUGUAAGCACAGCAAUGUGUUCAGGUGACUGGUACUAAUCGGCCGAGG
rnacentral:rRNA from 1 species